AGAGUUUGAUCCUGGCUCAGGAUGAACGCUAGCGGCAGGCCUAAUACAUGCAAGUCGAACGGUGAUAGCAAUAUCAUAGUGGCGCACGGGUGCGUGACACGUAUGCAACCUACCUAUUAUUGGGGGAUAGCCUUUGGAAACGGAGAUUAAUACCGCAUAAUACGAUUGACUGGCAUCGGUUGAUUGUCAAAGCUUUGGCGAUAAUAGAUGGGCAUGCGUCCAAUUAGUCAGUUGGUUAGGUAACGGCUGACCAAGACGAUGAUUGGUAGGGGAUCUGAGAGGAUAAUCCCCCACACUGGCACUGAGAUACGGGCCAGACUCCUACGGGAGGCAGCAGUAGGGAAUAUUGGGCAAUGGGCGGAAGCCUGACCCAGCCAUGCCGCGUGCAGGAAGAAGGCGUUAUGCGUUGUAAACUGCUUUUUUAUAGGAAGAAGGAUCCCUUGCGAGGGAAGGUGACGGUACUAUAAGAAUAAGCACCGGCUAACUCCGUGCCAGCAGCCGCGGUAAUACGGAGGGUGCAAGCGUUGUCCGGAUUUAUUGGGUUUAAAGGGUGCGUAGGCGGUUUAUUAAGUCAGUGGUGAAAGACGGUCGCUCAACGAUUGCAGUGCCAUUGAUACUGGUAGACUUGAGUGA
rnacentral:rRNA from 1 species